GGACCCGCACAAGUAGUGGAGCAUGUGGUUUAAUUCGAAGAUACGCGCAGAACCUUACCAACACUUGACAUGUUCGUCGCGACUUUAAGAGAUUAAAGUUUUCGGUUCGGCCGGACGAAACACAGGUGCUGCAUGGCUGUCGUCAGCUCGUGUCGUGAGAUGUUGGUUAAGUCCCGCAACGAGCGCAACCCCUACCUUUAGUUGCCACCAUUAAGUUGGGCACUUUAAAGGAACUGCCAGUGAUAAGCUGGAGGAAGGUGGGGAUGACGUCAAGUCCUCAUGGCCCUUACGUGUUGGGCUACACACGUGCUACAAUGGCACUUACAGUGGGAAGCUAAGACGCGAGUCCAAGCU
rnacentral:rRNA from 1 species